CUCGGAUCAGGUAGGGAUACCCGCUGAACUUAAGCAUAUCAUA
rnacentral:rRNA from 1 species